UACAGAGACUGCAAGCGUUACUCGGAUUCACUGGGCGUAAAGGGAGCGCAGGCGGAAUGAUGUGUCGAUUGUGAAACCCCGGAGCUCAACUCCGGGACUGCGGUCGAAACUGUCAUUCUAGGGACUCGGAGGGGCCGGUGGAAUUCCUGGUGGAGCAGUGAAAUGCGUGGAUAUCAGGAGGAACACCAACGGCGAAGGCAGCCGGCUGGACGAGAUCCGACGCUCAGGCUCGAAAGUAUGGGGAGCAAAAAGG
rnacentral:rRNA from 1 species